AUUGAACGCUGGCGGCAGGCUUAACACAUGCAAGUCGAGCGGGGUGAUGGUGCUUGCACUAUCACUUAGCGGCGGACGGGUGAGUAAUGCUUAGGAAUCUGCCUAUUAGUGGGGGACAACAUCUCGAAAGGGAUGCUAAUACCGCAUACGUCCUACGGGAGAAAGCAGGGGAUCACUUGUGACCUUGCGCUAAUAGAUGAGCCUAAGUCGGAUUAGCUAGUUGGUGGGGUAAAGGCCUACCAAGGCGACGAUCUGUAGCGGGUCUGAGAGGAUGCUCCGCCACACUGGGACUGAGACACGGCCCAGACUCCUACGGGAGGUAGCAGCGGGGAAUAUUGGACAAUGGGGGGAACCCUGAUCCAGCCAUGCCGCGUGUGUGAAGAAGGCCUUAUGGUUGUAAAGCACUUUAAGCGAGGAGGAGGCUCUUUUGGUUAAUACCCAAGAUGAGUGGACGUUACUCGCAGAAUAAGCACCGGCUAACUCUGUGCCAGCAGCCGCGGUAA
rnacentral:rRNA from 1 species